rnacentral:rRNA from 1 species
UAGUAGUAAUUUUAAUUAAAACUAAUUUAUAAUGGCGGCAUUAUAAAAUUUAGAGGAACUUGUAAUUUAAUCGACAAUCCACGAUAAUUUUCACUUAAUUAUAAAACUUAUAUAUCGCCAUUUAAAGAAUUAAUUAUAAUAUUCUAUUCUAAAUAAAAAAUAAUAAAUUAGGUCAAGGUGUAGUCAAUAAUCAAGAAAAAAUGAGUUACUUUUAAAAAAAUUAAAGGAUUAUUAAAAUAAACUUUUUUAUAAAAAAGGAUUUAAUAGUAUUAAUAUAAUAAUAUUUUAUUAAGAAAAUAAUAUGUGC